AUGAGUAUCUUAUGCUGGAAUUGUCGAAGCUUGGGGUCGGACUCGACAGCGGGCGAGCUUCGCUAGCUUGUGAAGCUUUAUCGACCCUCCCUCCUCUUUCCGUCAGAGACGAAGAUGAGGGAUAACCGGGUGAGGAACUUUAUGUGGUUUAUGGGUUUUUCUGGUUGCUAUGCUGUUAGUUGUGAAGGGCUCAGUGGGGGCCUGGCUUUGUUUUGGAUCUCCACGACGGAUGUAACAGUGAAGGCUGCUAACAAGCGCUGCAUUGAUACUCAUGUGAAGAUCAAUGACGGGGUAGUUUGGCGUGCCUCCUUCGUUUAUGGGGAGCUCAGGGAGAAGAUAGAUUUCAGUUCUGGGAGCUUCUUCGGCGUCUUCAACCUUUGUGGGAUGGACCGUGGCUCUAUUGUGGGGACUUCAAUGAGGUCUAGGCUCAAGAUGAACAUUGUGGCCCUCAGGACGGGUUUGAGGCUCAGAUCUCCGCAUUCAGAGAUUGCUUAA
rnacentral:rRNA from 1 species